GAGGUUGUGGCUCAGUGGUAAAGCUCUUGCUUUGCAUGCAAAAGGUUCCAGGUUCAAUCCCUGGCAUUUUCU